rnacentral:rRNA from 1 species
CCUGGCGGCGAGUGGCGAACGGGUGAGUAAUACAUCGGAACGUGCCCAAUCGUGGGGGAUAACGCAGCGAAAGCUGUGCUAAUACCGCAUACGAUCUACGGAUGAAAGCAGGGGAUCGCAAGACCUUGCGCGAAUGGAGCGGCCGAUGGCAGAUUAGGUAGUUGGUGAGGUAAAGGCUCACCAAGCCUUCGAUCUGUAGCUGGUCUGAGAGGACGACCAGCCACACUGGGACUGAGACACGGCCCAGACUCCUACGGGAGGCAGCAGUGGGGAAUUUUGGACAAUGGGCGAAAGCCUGAUCCAGCCAUGCCGCGUGCAGGAUGAAGGCCUUCGGGUUGUAAACUGCUUUUGUACGGAACGAAACGGCCUUUUCUAAUAAAGAGGGCUAAUGACGGUACCGUAAGAAUAAGCACCGGCUAACUACGUGCCAGCAGCCGCGGUAAUACGUAGGGUGCAAGCGUUAAUCGGAAUUACUGGGCGUAAAGCGUGCGCAGGCGGUUAUGUAAGACAGUUGUGAAAUCCCCGGGCUCAACCUGGGAACUGCAUCUGUGACUGCAUAGCUAGAGUACGGUAGAGGGGGAUGGAAUUCCGCGUGUAGCAGUGAAAUGCGUAGAUAUGCGGAGGAACACCGAUGGCGAAGGCAAUCCCCUGGACCUGUACUGACGCUCAUG